CGAGCCGCAAUUUGUGUUAUUACAAGCAAGCACGUCUUGUCCAUCUAGUAUCGACUACCGGGUCUUCUGUAGUUGAACGAGUCGACCUUGUGCUUGUGUUUUUUCUGGAAGACCCCUUGUGGUUGUGCUUAUGAAAUUGACAUCCGAUAACCAAAUUUUGAAGUUUGGGUAGUUGAUUCAUUUCCUCCGAAUCUUCAUCAAAACAACGUGAAUCUGCAAAUAAUUAAGCUCGUGUUCUUAUGCACGUAAUAUAAUAAAAAUUAUAAAAAAUAAAAUUAAACAGAAAAGAGUAAGGAAAGACAUGUAAAGUCUACGUGAAAUUAUCUGUUUACAAGUUAUUCGUGUGUUCAUCGUGUGUAUGGAACAACAGCUUCCUAGAAUAAAGUGAAUAAUGAUGCAGCGAUGCAGGAGUUCUACUCCAACAAAUUUUGUUUGUAUCAACUCUAAUCGUUAGAAUGAAUGUAUAUAGACAAUGUAAAAUUUGAUGAAUGAAGAAU
rnacentral:lncRNA from 1 species